rnacentral:rRNA from 1 species
UACAUAGGUGGCAAGCGUUGUCCGGAUUUAUUGGGUUUAAAGGGUGCGUAGGCGGCCCUGUAAGUCAGUGCUGAAAUAUCCCAGCUUAACUGGGAGGGUGGCAUUGAUACUGCGGGGCUAGAGUACAGAUGAGGUAGGCGGAAUUGACGGUGUAGCGGUGAAAUGCUUAGAUAUCGUCAAGAACACCUAUAGCGAAGGCAGCUUACAAGGCUGUAACUGACGCUGAGGCACGAAAGUGUGGGGAUCAAACAGG